rnacentral:lncRNA from 10 species
UCUCUAGUCCAGCGUGGUUUAUGGUGCCAAAUAAGUGCCAGGUGAACUCACUACAUCUGACAAAAUCUCAAGGAACCAAGUUUACCAGAUAAUAUUUAUGAUUAUGUGAAAAAGACUGAGGAAAUCACUCAAGUGAUCCAUCAUACAGCACCUCCAGUUCCAAAGAAUACUGACUUACUUCAGCUGUACUGGUCUGGAGCUGCACAUUCUUUUCAGACAACUCUUGUUCCAGUAAGUUCAGGCUAGAGUGCAAUGGUGCAACCUCAGCUCACUGCAACCUCCGCUUCCCAGGUUCAAGCGAUUCUCCUGCUUCAGCCUCCCUGGUUGCUGGGAUUACAGGCUUUGUUAUCAGGAUGAUGCUGGCCUCAUAAAAUGAGUUAGGGAGGAUUCCCUCUUUUUCUAUUGAUUGGAAUAGGUUCAGAAGGAAUGGUACCAGCUCCUCCUUGUACCUCUGGUAGAAUUCGGCUGUGAAUCCGUCUGAUCCUGGACUUUUUUCGGUUGGUGACUCUUCUCCUGUAACAGAGCCUCCUUCUUAGAAACUAUGGCCUCCCGUUUCUUUAAGUCUGCUUCCAGCUCCUCUAAUUCUUGGCGUUGGUUCAGAACUUUCUCUACUUCUUCAUCUAACCAUUUCUUUUGCUCAUCCAAUUUCUACAUUAAAAUUAAAAAAAAA